UGAUGGGCAAUUUCCCAGUGUGUG
rnacentral:misc_RNA from 1 species